rnacentral:rRNA from 1 species
CCUACGGGUGGCAGCAGUGGGGAAUAUUGCACAAUGGGGGAAACCCUGAUGCAGCGACGCCGCGUGAGUGAAGAAGUAUUUCGUUAUGUAAAGCUCAAUCAGCAGGGAAGAAAAUGACGGUACCCGAGUAAGAAGCCCCCGCUAACUACGGGCCAGCCGCCGCCGUAAUACGGAGGGGGACAGCGUUAUCCGGAUUUACUGGGUGGAAAGGGAGCGUAGACGGCAGUGCAAGUCUGGAGUGAAAGGCGGGGGCUCAACCCCCGGACUGCCCUGGAAACUGUACGGCUGGAGUGCAGGAGAGGUAAGUGGAAUUCCUAGUGUAGCGGUGAAAUGCGUAGAUAUUAGGAGGAACACCAGUGGCGAAGGCGGCUUACUGGACUGUAACUGACGUUGAGGCUCGAAAGCGUGGGGAGCAAACAGGAUUAGAUACCCGAGUAGUC